UGUGAUGUGUGUAUGUAUAUGUGU
rnacentral:piRNA from 1 species